AGGAGUUACAGUAACAGUGGCGGCGGCCAGCUCUCCAGCCCUGGCGUCAGCUCCCGCAGUGACUACUGGAGCUCUCAGUCUGCAGGGGCCUGGAUGCUCCGGGGGCGG
rnacentral:pre_miRNA from 1 species